UACGUAGGGCGCAAGCGUUGUCCGGAUUUACUGGGCGUAAAGAGCUCGUAGGCGGUCUGUCGCGUCGGAUGUGAAAUCCCGGAACUCAACUCCGGGCCUGCAUUCGAUACGGGCAGACUUGAGUACUGCAGGGGAGACUGGAAUUCCUGGUGUAGCGGUGGAAUGCGCAGACAUCAGGAGGAACACCGGUGGCGAAGGCGGGUCUCUGGGCAGAAACUGACGCUGAGGAGCGAAAGCGUGGGGAGCGAACAGG
rnacentral:rRNA from 1 species